GCUUCCUGUGCUUCAAAUUAUAUCCUCUUGCCAGGCCUGCCGGAGAACCUCAGAGACUCAGGUUAAAAAUAUUCAUCCAGGCAAAGCAAACAUGUUUGUUUUCAUCCAAAGAAGGCAUCUGAUUUCAGUUUGUUCCCUAUGACAUUUUGACUACAAAACUCCGUCGAGCGAAUUGCCUUUCCAGCCCAGAAUUCCCUGUCUCUGAUGAUAAGCAUGCCUCUUCACUUCCGGUGCAGAGGACUUCUCCUCCGUGGCUAGAAUAUAGCCUUUCCUGGAAUUUGGAUCAGUCUAACCUGCAAUCCUCCAUAAAUGAAUACAUCCUAAGUUGUGUUUUCUAGUGGGAUUUCCACCCUUGAAUUAUUGCUGACGUACAUCCGAAUGCAGGAUAGUUUCCAGGGUCAUGUUGAGCAUUAUAUGCAGGACCUCUAUAUUGAUUUGUUUGUUGCACUGACUUUUGCAACUUGAACGUCACUUUGUUUCUGUUUAGUUUUAAGGGAAUGAUGUGAUGUCACUCAAUGCAUGUAAAUACUAAUCUACUCUGAGAUUUUAAAUUCGAAUUCCUUCAAAAGGGCAAGUUGCUGCUUUUCCUAGAAGAGAAAAUAAAAACAUGGAGUAUGCCAACAUUUGAUUAGAGGACUAUUUUACCAAGCUUCCUGAGUACUAUCUUCUUUCUUGAGAAAUGUGGACAUCAUUAUAUGUUCUAGCUUACCUAAUGUCUUAGAAGCUCAGAAGAGGGGCUGGCCCAGUGGCACUGUGGUUAAGUUCACAUGUUCCACUUAGCAGCCUGUGGUUCGCCGGUUUGGAUGCUGGGUGUGGACCUAUGCACUGCUUAUCAAGCCUUGCUGUGGCAGGUGUCCCAUAUACGAAAAAAAAAAAAGAAAAGGAAGAAGAUGGGCACGAAUGUUAGCAAAUGUUAGCUCAGGGCCAAUCUUCCUCAGCAAAAAGAGGAGGAUUUGUGGUGGAUGUCAGCUCAGGGGCUAAUCUUCCUCAAAAAAACCCAAAUAAAAUAAAACAAAUAAAAAGAAGCUGGGAAGAAUGCAUUUUAC
rnacentral:lncRNA from 1 species